rnacentral:lncRNA from 10 species
AUUGCCCACAGCCGGAUCCACGGUGACUAAUCUCCGGGAAGGCGUCCAGCGUGAGCCGUGAGGCCUGCACCUGCGCCGGACUUCACCACUCACCAGGAGUCUCUGCCCGCCGCCCCCAGCGCGGUUCUCUUCCCUGCUAGACGUAAAGUCCUGGGGACAAGCACAGCCCAGGGCACUUUCUGGAGAGAAGAUUUCGAUGGGGAAAGAUAAGAGAGCAUUUGGAUAUCUACGCACUGUCAACAGAAAUGAGGCUUCAGGCCAAGGCUUCUAAAAUGCAGGAUUCCCAAAGUGGCAGUCACAUAAGACGGGUCCCUCCAUCGCCUUCUAGAAUAUUGAGAAGAUCAUCACGCCUGGGACUGGCUCACAGCACUGAUCUUUUUCUUGUUAGCAGAGACUCCAGGAAGCAGAUGAGCAGACCUAUGGGCCUGCUAUGUGCACCGCGGCCCACACUGCCGCCUGCCUGGGAUCCUGCAUCACCCGAGUCUUCCUGCGGACCACCCUGGGUGGUGCACAUGCGGUCAUCAUUGUGCAAAGGAAGCUUUAGUUCUAUAAUGAAAGCCCCUUUAGUAAGUGAUGCUCCUUGAAGACUCGGUCAGCGUCUCGUUCACCUCUUUAUCCCCAGACUUAGCACAAUUCCAGCCCCAAAUCGGCAACGGACCUUUGACCAAGUGACAUGUCAGUGCUUCAGGGAGCUUCACUGAUCAGGACAGAAGUGAGUGACUGGAGGAAGGUGACCCGGAUGUCUGUAACCCCCAGAAAGGGUGAGAUGGCUGUUUUAUCAGCCAGCAUUGCCGAGUUGGUGGUGUGACGACAUCCUGUCUGACUGCUGGGCCUUACCGGUGUGUUCUCUGCUGGAGCCGUGACAGUUUGAGUUGAGGACAUUUUACAUCAAUCACUGAACUGCACGAAAGAUGGAAAUCCAGCAAGGGACCCCGUCGGACCUGAUUGACCGCAGAGCUACCUUUUGCUCUUUCUGGAUGCCACACGGCCUCCUCCUCCCACCUGUCCUUGGAGCUUGUGUUGGUCCACUUUCAUGCUGCUGAUAAAGCCAUACCUGAGACUGGGUAAUUUAUAAAGAAAAAGAGGUUGAAUGGACUCACAGUUCCACGUGGCUGGGGAGGCCUCACAAUCACGGCGGAAGUUGAAAGGCACGUCUUACAUGGCGGCAGGCAAGAGAGAAUGAGAGCCAAGCAAAGGGGGUUUCCCCUUAUAGAACCAUCAGAUCAGCUGGGCGCAGUGGCUCACUCCUGUAAUCCCAGCACUUUGGGAUGCUGAGGUGGGAGGAUCACAAGGUCAGGAGUUUGAGACCAGCCUGACCAAUAUGGUGAAACCCCAUCUCUACUAAAAAUACAAAAAUUAUCUGGGCAUGGUGGUGGGCACCUGUAGUCCCAGCUACUCGGGAGGCUGAGGCAGGAGAAUCGCUUGAACCUGGGAGGCGGAGGUUGCAGUGAGCUGAGAUUGUGCCACUGCACUCUAGCCUGGGCAACAAAGCGAGACGCUGUCUCAAAAAAACAAAAACAAAAACAAAAAAAACCAUCAGAUCUCAUGAGACUUAUUCACUACCAUGAGAACAGUAUGGGGGAAACCACCCUCAUGAUUCAAUUAUCUCUUGCUGGGUCCCUCCCUCAACACAUGGGAAUU